UGUGUUGAAAGAAUGAAAUUUCA
rnacentral:siRNA from 1 species